rnacentral:rRNA from 1 species
AGUGAACGCUGGCGGUAGGCCUAACACAUGCAAGUCGAACGGGGAAAGCUUUCGGGUGAGUACUAGUGGCGCACGGGUGAGUAACGCGUGGAUAAUCUGCCUUAGAGUGGGGGAUAACUAGUCGAAAGAUUAGCUAAUACCGCAUAAGACCACAAGAACUGCGGUUCAAGGGGUCAAAGGUUUUUCGCUCUAAGAUGAGUCCGCGUAAGAUUAGCUAGUUGGUAGGGUAACGGCCUACCAAGGCGACGAUCUUUAACUGGUCUGAGAGGAUGAUCAGUCACACUGGAACUGAGACACGGUCCAGACUCCUACGGGAGGCAGCAGUAGGGAAUAUUGCACAAUGGAGGAAACUCUGAUGCAGCGACGCCGCGUGAGUGAUGAAGGCCUUCGGGUCGUAAAGCUCUGUCGCAGGGGAAUAACACAAUGAAGGUACCCUGUAAGAAAGGAUCGGCUAACUUCGUGCCAGCCGCCGCCGUAAAAC